rnacentral:rRNA from 1 species
CAGUCGCCGCGGUAAUACGGAGGGCGCGAGCGUUACCCGGAUUUACUGGGCGUAAAGCGCACGUAGGCGGCUUUGUAAGUCAGAGGUGAAAGCCUGGAGCUCAACUCCAGAACUGCCUUUGAGACUGCAUCGCUUGAAUCCAGGAGAGGUGAGUGGAAUUCCGAGUGUAGAGGUGAAAUUCGUAGAUAUUCGGAAGAACACCAGUGGCGAAGGCGGCUCACUGGACUGGUAUUGACGCUGAGGUGCGAAAGCGUGGGGAGCAAACAGGAUUAGAUACCCGCGUAGUCCCUGUCUCUUAUAA